UGGAUAAGGCAUGCAAGUCGAACGGGAAAUAUUGAGAUUAUAUCAAGAUUAUUUCUAGUGGCGAACGAGGUAGUAACACGUGGGUAACGUACCCUUUAGUCAGGCAUAACCCAUCGAAAGAUGGAUUAAUACUUGAUAGUCUGCAUUUCAGCGAUGAGAUGCAGUAAAGAUUUAUCGCUAAAGGAGCGGCCCGCGGGAUAUCAGCUAGUUGGUAAGGUAAUGGCUUACCAAGGCUAUGACGUCUAGGGGAGCUGAGAGGCUGACCCCCACCGAUGGAACUGAGAUACGGUCCAUACACCUACGGGUGGCUGCAGUCGAGAAUCUUCCGCAAUGGGCGCAAGCCUGACGGAGCGAUGUCGCGUGGUUGAUGAAGUCUUUCGGGAUGUAAAAACC
rnacentral:rRNA from 1 species